GUAGUUGAUCUGUAGUCGUCUCUGGUGGAGUUUGUGGCGAGACAAAAAUUCAACAACUUGCAAAGAAAUACAUGUAGAGAAACUAUGCUCAAAAUUACCUCAUUCUGUGUUGCUUUUAAAAUUUUCAAUUCAUGCUGCCUUUACAAAUUAUCAAAUUUUUGCUUCACCACAUUCUGUCCUCUAAUCAGGUUUUGGUCACAGUCCCCUCACACAUCACACACCAUAUCUGUUUGUUGUCUGGUUUAUUGGUUGGUCCAUCAGUUGGUCCCUAGUCACCAAAGGCAUCCAUCUUGCUGCACCAUUUCCAUGUGUCUGUUUGGUUGGUUGGUCGUAGCAUCAGUUGGUUAGUUGGAACACCAUGUACCAUCUUGAAUUCUCUAAUUUUGAGUUGGUUCAGUGGUUUAUCAUCAGCAUGGCUUCUUUUGAGUAGUUGAUCUGUAGUCGUCUCUGGUUGAGUUUGUGAUGAGACAAAAAUUCAACAACUUGCAAAGAAAAACAUGUAUAGAAACUAUGCUAAAAAUUACCUCAUUCUGUGUUGCUUUUUAAAUUUUCAAUUCAUGCUGCCUUUACAAAUUAUCAAAUUUUUGCUUCACCACAUUCUGUCCUCUAAUCAGGUUUUGGUCACAGUCCCCUCACACAUCACACACCAUAUCUGUUUGUUGUCUGGUUUAUUGGUUGGUCCAUCAGUUGGUCCCUAGUCACCAAAGGCAUCCAUCUUGCUGCACCAUUUCCAUGUGUCUGUUUGGUUGCUUGGUCGUAGCAUCAGUUGGUUAGUUGGAACACCAUGUACCAUCUUGAAUUCUCUAAUUUUGAGUUGGUUCAGUGGUUUAUCAUCAGCAUGGCUUCUUUUGAGUAGUUGAUCUGUAGUCGUCUCUGGUUGAGUUUGUGAUGAGACAAAAAUUCAACAACUUGCAAAGAAAUACAUGUAAAGAAACUAUGCUAAAAAUUACCUCAUUCUGUGUUGCUUUUUAAAUUUUCAAUUCAUGCUGCCUUUACAAAUUAUCAAAUUUUUGCUUCACCACAUUCUGUCCUCUAAUCAGGUUUUGGUCACAGUCCCCUCACACAUCACACACCAUAUCUGUUUGUUGUCUAGUUUAUUGGUUGGUCCAUCAGUUGGUCCCUAGUCACCAAAGGCAUCCAUCUUGUUGCACCAUUUCCAUAAGUCUGUUUGGUUGGUUGGUCAUAGCAUCAGUUGGUCAGUUGGAACACCAUGUACCAUCUUGAAUUCUCUAAUUUUGAGUUGGUUCAGUGGUUUAUCAUCAGCAUGGCUUUCUUUGAGUAGUUGAUCUGUAGCCGUCUCUGGUGGAUUUUGUGGCGAGACAAAAAUUCAACAACUUGCAAAGAAAUACAUGUAAAGAAACUAUGCUAAAAAUUACAUCAUUCUGUAUUGCAUUUUAAAUUUUCAAUUCAUGCUGCCUUUACAAAUUAUUAAAUUUUUGCUUCACCACGUUCUGUCCUCUAAUCAGGUUUUGGUCACAGUCCCCUCACACAUCACACACCAUAUCUGUUUGUUGUCUGGUUUAUCGGUUGGUCCCUAGUCACCAAAGGCAUCCAUCUUGCUGCACCGUUUCCAUGUGUCUGUUUGGUUGGUUGGUUGUAGCAUCAGUUGGUCAGUUGGAACACCAUGUACCAUCUUAAAUUCUCUAAUUUUGAGUUGGUUCAGUGGUUGAUCGUCAGCAUGGCUUCUUUUGAGUAGUUGAUCUGUAGUCGUCUCUGAUGGAGUUUGUGGUGAGACAAAAAUUCAACAACUUGCAAAGAAAUACAUGUAAAGAAACUAUGCUAAAAAUUACCUCAUUCUGUGUUGCUUUUUAAAUUUUCAAUUCAUGCUGCUUUUACAAAUUAUCAAAUUUUUGCUUCACCACAUUCUGUCCUCUAAUCAGGUUUUGGUCACAGUCCCCUCACACAUCACACACCAUAUCUGUUUGUUGUCUAGUUUAUUGGUUGGUCCAUCAGUUGGUCCCUAGUCACCAAAGGCAUCCAUCUUGCUGUACCAUUUUCAUAAGUCUGUUUGGUUGGUUGGUCAUAGCAUCAGUUGGUUAGUUGGAACACCAUGUACCAUCUUGAAUUCUCUAAUUUUGAGUUGGUUCAGUGGUUUAUCAUCAGCAUGGCUUUCUUUGAGUAGUUGAUCUGUAGCCGUCUCUGGUGGAUUUUGUGGUGAGACAAAAAUUCAACAACUUGCAAAGAAAUACAUGUAAAGAAACUAUGCUAAAAAUUACAUCAUUCUGUAUUGCAUUUUAAAUUUUCAAUUCAUGCUGCCUUUACAAAUUAUUAAAUUUUUGCUUCACCACGUUCUGUCCUCUAAUCAGGUUUUGGUCACAGUCCCCUCACACAUCACACACCAUAUCUGUUUGUUGUCUGGUUUAUCUGUUGGUCCCUAGUCACCAAAGGCAUCCAUCUUGCUGCACUGUUUCCAUGUGUGUGUUUGGUUGGUUGGUUGUAGCAUCAGUUGGUCAGUUGGAACACCAUGUACCAUCUUAAAUUCUCUAAUUUUGAGUUGGUUCAGUGCUUGCUAGUCAGCAUGGCUUCUUUUGAGUAGUUGAUCUGUAGUUGUCUCUGGUUGAGUUUGUGGCGAGAUAAAAAUUCAACAACUUGCAAAGAAAAACAUGUAUAGAAACUAUGCUAAAAAUUACCUCAUUCUGUGUUGCUUUUUAAAUUUUCAAUUCAUGCUGCCUUUACAAAUUAUCAAAUUUUUGCUUCACCACAUUCUGUCCUCUAAUCAGGUUUUGGUCACAGUCCCCUCACACAUCACACACCAUAUCUGUUUGUUGUCUAGUUUAUUGGUUGGUCCAUCAGUUGGUCCCUAGUCACCAAAGGCAUCCAUCUUGCUGCACCAUUUCCAUAAGUUUGGUUGGUUGGUUGGUCAUAGCAUCAGUUGGUCAGUUGGAACACCAUGUACCAUCUUGAAUUCUCUAAUUUUGAGUUGGUUCAGUGGUUUAUCAUCAGCAUGGCUUUCUUUGAGUAGUUGAUCUGUAGCCGUCUCUGGUGGAUUUUGUGGCGAGACAAAAAUUCAACAACUUGCAAAGAAAUACAUGUAAAGAAACUAUGCUAAAAAUUACAUCAUUCUGUAUUGCAUUUUAAAUUUUCAAUUCAUGCUGCCUUUACAAAUUAUUAAAUUUUUGCUUCACCACGUUCUGUCCUCUAAUCAGGUUUUGGUCACAGUCCCCUCACACAUCACACACCAUAUCUGUUUGUUGUCUAGUUUAUUGGUUGGUCCAUCAGUUGGUCCCUAGUCACCAAAGGCAUCCAUCUUGCUGUACCAUUUUCAUAAGUCUGUUUG